UGAGGAAUUUUGCGCAAUGGGAGCAAUCCUGACGCAGCAACGCCGCGUGGGUGAUGAAGGCCUUCGGGUCGUAAAGCCCUGUCAGGUGGGAAGAAUGUCCCGAGACUGAACAGGUUCCGGGAGUGACGGUACCACCAGAGGAAGCACCGGCUAACUCCGUGCCAGCAGCCGCGGUAAGACGGAGGGUGCGAGCGUUAUUCGGAAUUACUGGGCGUAAAGCGCGUGUAGGCGGUCCCGCAAGUCGGAUGUGAAAGCCCCGGGCUUAACCCGGGAAGUGCAUUGGAAACUGUGGGACUUGAGUACUGGAGAGGAUGGGGGAAUUCCCGGUGUAGAGGUGAAAUUCGUAGAGAUCGGGAGGAAUAUCAGUGGCGAAGGCGCCCAUCUGGACGGUAACUGACGCUGAGACGCGAAAGCGUGGGGAGCAAACA
rnacentral:rRNA from 1 species